rnacentral:rRNA from 1 species
AGUCGAGCGGUAGCACAAGGGAGCUUGCUCCCUGGGUGACGAGCGGCGGACGGGUGAGUAAUGUCUGGGAAACUGCCUGAUGGAGGGGGAUAACUACUGGAAACGGUAGCUAAUACCGCAUAACGUCGCAAGACCAAAGAGGGGGACCUUCGGGCCUCUUGCCAUCAGAUGUGCCCAGAUGGGAUUAGCUAGUAGGUGGGGUAAUGGCUCACCUAGGCGACGAUCCCUAGCUGGUCUGAGAGGAUGACCAGCCACACUGGAACUGAGACACGGUCCAGACUCCUACGGGAGGCAGCAGUGGGGAAUAUUGCACAAUGGGCGCAAGCCUGAUGCAGCCAUGCCGCGUGUGUGAAGAAGGCCUUCGGGUUGU